UGCAAAGUGUUCAGUCAUUUUUGCAGUUAUAUAAGGAUAAAGAAAAAUACUCUGUACUUGAAAACCAAUUUAAAUUGCUUUUCUUCUACCGAAUAGUAACUUUAAGUGGCUUGUUUGAGGAAGUUUAAUAGUUGCAUCUCACCAGCCCCCCAAAUAGCAGUUUUAUCUUGACAAAUAGCCUGUUGUUGAUCUCAAUGCUCUGCUUUCUUUAUUCCCUUUUUUUGCAGGUUUUAUAAAAGAGAGUGCAGAGCAGUAGGCAGUGGUAGAAGCUGAGUCGGGGUCUGAGUGCUCCAGUGCACUGACUGUCUGACAUACAGAGUCUUGCUAAGUUAUCCUGGCUGGCCUCAAACUUGUGAUCUUCUCUCAGCCUUCCAGAUAGCUUGGAUUCCAGGAGCACACAGCACUGUACCCUAUAAGGAUGGC
rnacentral:lncRNA from 1 species